GUGGGGAAUCUUGUGCAAUGGGCGAAAGCCUGACGCAGCCAUGCCGCGUGAAUGAUGAAGGUCUUAGGAUUGUAAAAUUCUUUCACCGGGGACGAUAAUGACGGUACCCGGAGAAGAAGCUCCGGCUAACUUCGUGCCAGCAGCCGCGGUAAUACGAAGGGGGCUAGCGUUGCUCGGAAUUACUGGGCGUAAAGGGCGCGUAGGCGGACAGCUUAGUCAGAGGUGAAAGCCCAGGGCUCAACCUUGGAAUUGCCUUUGAUACUGGCUGUCUUGAGUUUGGGAGAGGUGAGUGGAACUCCGAGUGUAGAGGUGAAAUUCGUAGAUAUUCGGAAGAACACCAGUGGCGAAGGCGACUCACUGGCCCAAUACUGACGCUGAGGCGCGAAAGCGUGGGGAGCAAACAGGAUUAGAAACCCCAGUAGUCC
rnacentral:rRNA from 1 species